rnacentral:misc_RNA from 1 species
GAGUAAGGGUGCUCAGCGCCCGACCUCCAACCCUUUGUUGUUAAAACUACCUUGUUGCUUUGGCGGGACCGCUCGGUCUCGAGCCGCUGGGGAUUCGUCCCAGGCGAGUGCCCGCCAGAGUCAAACCAAACUCUUGUUAUUAAACCGGUCGUCUGAGUAUAAAAUUUUAAUUAAAUUAAAACUUUCAACAACGGAUCUCUUGGUUCU